UGGUGAGUUCGGUGCAAGCGGCGGCGUGAAGAGAGAGACGGCGAGCUUUGGGCGGAGUCACGGGGCGUAAAGGUUGCGCGGGGGGUCAAGUGUGGGAGGCGGGAAAGCCCGGGGCGUAAGUCCGGAAUUGCACCUCAAACUACAUGGCUAGAGCAUUGGAGAGGGUAGCAGAAGUCACGGGGGAGCAGUGAAAUGCGUAGAUAUCGUGAGGAAGACCAGAGGCGAAGGCGGCUACCUGGACAAUUGCUGACGCUCAGGCACGAAAGCGUGGGGAGCAAAAGGGAUUAGAUACCCUGGUAGC
rnacentral:rRNA from 1 species